CUUUUACAUGGAUCCCAGUACGGCGAGUGAAGAGGGACUAGCCCAAAUUUGUAAUCUGGCUCUUUCAGAGUCCGAGUUGUAAUCUCGAGAACAGUUUUCCGUGUUGGACCUUGUAUAAGUCUGUUGGAAUAUAGCUUCGUAGAGGGUGAGAAUCCCGUACAUAACAAGGACUACCAAUGCUUUGUGAUACUGUCUCUAAGAGUCGAGUUGUUUGGGAAUGCAGCUCAAAUCGGGUGGUAAAUUCCAUCUAAGGCUAAAUAUUGGCGAGAGACCGAUAGCGAACAAGUACCGUGAGGGAAAGAUGAAAAGCACUUUGGAAAGAGAGUUAACAGUACGUGAAAUUGUUAAAAGGGAAACGAUUGAAGUCAGUCUUGUAGCUUUUCGUUCAACCGCAAGGUGUAUUCGGAUUGCAACAGGCCAGCAUCAAUUUUUGGUGUCGGAUAAGGGUAUUGGAAAUGUAGCAAUCUCGGUUGUGUUAUAGUCCUUUACUUGAUACGAUGCUAGGGAUUGAGGAAUGCAGUGAGCCUUUUGGCGGGUCUUUGGACCUUCUCACUUUGGAUGCUGGCGUAAUGGCUUUAAACGACCCGUCUUGAAAAACCGGAACCAA
rnacentral:rRNA from 1 species